rnacentral:rRNA from 1 species
GCUUGCUGGGGUACACGAGUGGCGAACGGGUGAGUAACACGUGGGUGACCUGCCCCGCACUUCGGGAUAAGCCUGGGAAACUGGGUCUAAUACCGGAUAGGACCGCACCGUGAGGGUGUGGUGGAAAGUUUUUCGGUGUGGGAUGGGCCCGCGGCCUAUCAGCUUGUUGGUGGGGUAAUGGCCUACCAAGGCGGCGACGGGUAGCCGGCCUGAGAGGGUGGACGGCCACAUUGGGACUGAGACACGGCCCAGACUCCUACGGGAGGCAGCAGUGGGGAAUAUUGCACAAUGGGCGGAAGCCUGAUGCAGCGACGCCGCGUGGGGGAUGACGGCCUUCGGGUUGUAAACUCCUUUCACCAUCGACGAAGGUUUUCUGACGGUAGAUGGAGAAGAAGCACCGGCUAACUACGUGCCAGCAGCCGCGGUAAUACGUAGGGUGCGAGCGUUGUCCGGAAUUACUGGGCGUAAAGAGCUCGUAGGUGGUUUGUCGCGUCGUCUGUGAAAUUCCGGGGCUUAACUCCGGGCGUGCAGGCGAUACGGGCAUAACUUGAGUACUGU